UACGUAGGGUGCGAGCGUUAAUCGGAAUUACUGGGCGUAAAGCGUGCGCGGGCGGUUUUGUAAGCCAGAUGUGAAAGCCCCGGGCUCAACCUGGGAAUGGCCGUGGAAACUGGCGAGCUGGAGUGUGGCAGAGGGGGGUGGAAUUCCACGUGUAGCAGUGAAAUGCGUAGAGAUGUGGAGGAACACCGAUGGCGAAGGCAGCCCCCUGGGCUGACACUGACGCUCAGGCACGAAAGCGUGGGGAGCAAACAGG
rnacentral:rRNA from 1 species